rnacentral:lncRNA from 1 species
GAUACACCCCACAUCUUUACACAACCACUGGCAGAUUUAAGUAUGUCUUAUCCCAUCUCCUCCUAUAUUUCUUAUUUUCAUUUUGCUCCCUCAUACUUUAUUUUUCUCUCUGCCAUCUCCUUCGAUGAUGAGCCUACUAGUUAUUCCUAGGUAGUUAAGAACCCAUAUUGGCGAGAAGCUAUGGUAUUCAAACUAGAAGC